UAGAGCUGCUUUCUCUUCAGAUUGUAUAAAUGUUUUGCAUUUUGCUAAAGAUUUCCAAAGAGAGAUGGUAUAAUGUUCAUUUUCCUCUUUGUCACUAGUAACAUGGCACACUGCA